UACGGAGGGUGCAAGCGUUAUCCGGAUUUACUGGGCUUAAAGGGUGCGUAGGUGGGUCUGUAAGUCAGUGGUGAAAUCUCCGGGCUUAACCCGGAAACUGCCAUUGAUACUAUAGGUCUUGAAUACUCUGGAGGUAAGCGGAAUAUGUCAUGUAGCGGUGAAAUGCUUAGAUAUGACAUAGAACACCAAUUGCGAAGGCAGCUUACUACGGGGUCAUUGACACUGAGGCGCGAAAGCUAGGGGAGCAAACGGG
rnacentral:rRNA from 1 species